AUUUCGCCUUUGGGUUUGCGAUCACCUUCGCCUGGCAAAUUCCCAUGGAUUUCGAACCCUAGGGGCUGUAAUCGAAGAGGGGAAGAAAAUAGGAGAAAAAUCAAAUCAAUGAGAAAAAAGAGCUUCAUCCAUGAGACAGAAACAUCUAAGGUAAUCCCAACAAGAAUCACUACUACAAGACAAACAAAAUGGGAGCAGAAAUCAAGGCAGAGAACAAGCAAGAGGGAAACCUGAACAAGUUUCUGAGGCUCAGGUGAGACACAGAACAUAAAAACAAAAUGCUAUAUGUUACGUUGCAACUUACAAAUUUAAUACUCAAUUUUUUAAUGUUUCUCUGUCUCUUACCUUUUAAAUUAUUGCACUUUGGAAAGUGUUUGAAGUGCUGGUUGGAUAGUAUAGUUGAUAGGUUAAAAUAGUUUCAGUUAAUACAAGAACAAAGAGGGAAAGAGAGUAUGAUUAGGAAAUGGUAAACACUAGAACAAAGAUGGAAAGAGAGGUUGAUUAUAAAAUAGCAAACAUUUCAACAAAUAAGAAAUACUUUAACAAAUAGUAGGUGGGAACCAAAGACAAAGUACAUUAUGAAGAUUUCAAACUCUUUCUCUGUUUGUGGGUUUGGUUUUUAUAUGCUCAUAUAUUCUUUCAUUUCUUCAAAAAAAAAAAAAAAAAAAAAAAAAGGAAAAAAAAGUAUUUAGGUCAUGUAAUGAAGUUGUGAUGUCUGGUGUAAACUCCUUAGACCAAACAAAACCCCCACACCUAGAGCCAAAGAGUUUGUUUGAAAUGAUUUUUGGAUGAUAUAUAUUGUCAUUCUAACACAAUUAUAGAAGUUUUAAGGUUUGUAAUUAUAAUGUAAUGAUGUAUACAUCAUUCAAUCAUAAAAUAAAAAAGGUGGAAAAGUGAGGAAAAUAGUUACCAAAGUUAGGCAACACAUAACAUCUCCACUUUCUCUUCUUUUUGUAAGCUUUAUAUGUGAUGACAAAUGAAUUAUGUUUUAUUUUAGUAAGGUGAGAGGAGAAUUUGUGUUUGUGAAAGGAAGAAAUAAAGUAAGAAUAAUAGAAGUGGGGUUGGGGUUUGGUUUGGAUCCUUCUAUUCCAGGCUGUCUUUUUUGGGCCAUCACAAAAACCAAGAAAGAAAUAAUAUAAUUCAAUUUCUUGCUUCUCCUUUGUAACAA